rnacentral:rRNA from 1 species
GGAAUUUUGGACAAUGGGGGCAACCCUGAUCCAGCCAUGCCGCGUGCGGGAAGAAGGCCUUCGGGUUGUAAACCGCUUUCGGCCGGAACGAAAUCGCCCGGGUGAACAUCCCGGGUGGAUGACGGUACCGGAAGAAGAAGCACCGGCUAACUACGUGCCGGCCGCCGCGGUAAUACGGGGGGGGUAAGCGUUGUUCGGAAUUACUGGGCGUAAAGGGCUCGUAGGCGGCCAACUAAGUCAUACGUGAAAUCCCUCAGCUUAACUGGGGAACUGCGUGUGAUACUGGAUGGCUUGGAUUUGGGAGAGGGAUGCGGAAUUCCAGGUGUAGCGGUGAAAUGCGUAGAUAUCUGGAGGAACACCGGUGGCGAAGGCGGCAUCCUGGACCAAUAUUGACGCUGAGGAGCGAAAGCCAGGGGAGCAAAC